ensembl:lncRNA
GCCAGCAGACACCCAGGGAUUUACAGCGAGGCGAUGGUUGGAGGCUGCAAAGCGAGGAGAGACGAUUAUUAAUAAUCAAAGAGCUACUGCUGCUGGAGCAGAGAUGAAAGGCUUUCCAGGCCAGUCGGUGAUGCGCCUGGAGCUCUCCCCUGGGCAGCCACCUGCGUUGAGAAACAUGUAAAGAAGGAAAUGAACAUGAGCCACAGUCCCCAUCUUCCCACCCGAACGUAACCAACCACUAUUAGCAUUUCGUUGUCAUCCUCCUGACAUGCUCACAUGGUCACCUAGGGAUGUACCAGUGACAAAAGGAGAUUCCAUGAUGUUUCAUCACGGGAAUUUUCACUUAACUUACCAAAGACGUGGAAAGACAGAAAAACACGUAGCCAUGUACAGGUGUGAGAGUUGGACCAUAAAGAAGGCUGAGCACCAAAGAAUUGAUGCUUUUGAAUUGUUGUGCUGGAGAAGACACUUGAGAGAGUGUCUUGGAGAGACCCUUGGACAGCAAAGGAGAUUGAACCAGUCAAUCCUAAAAGAAAUCAACCUUGAAUAUUCAUUGGAAGGACUGAUGCUAAUGCUCCAGUAUUUUGGCCACUUGAUGUGAAGAGCUGACUCACUGGAAAAGACCCUGAUGCUGAGAAAGAUUGAAAGCAAAAGGAAAAGGGGCCGCCAGAGGAUGAGAUGGUUAGAUAGCAUCAGUGACUCAAUGGACAUGAAUUUGAGCAGCUCUGGGAUACAGUGAAGGACAGAGGAGCCUGGUAUGCUAUAGUCCAUGAGGCUGUGAAGAGUUGGACAUGACUUGGU